GACUGAUCAGGGUGGUGGUUGCUAAAGGUCAAGGUGGCCGUGACAAUUUCUUAAAAUAAGACAACAAUCACAUCCAGUUACAAAUGUCUUUGUUCCUUCUCCACUCCCACUGCUUCACUUGACUAGCCUUUA
rnacentral:Y_RNA from 1 species